GCGUUUUCUCUCGAUUCUUCGAGAAGUCCUCAGGCUUUUAUAUUCAAGCACAAUCUUUAAUUUCUAUAUAGAAGAAUUAUUAGUUUUCUGUUACUGCAAACAACUCCCUCUUCGAUUUCCAAGAACGUACUGUCGUCCGACACGCUGAUUACGCCGCGACAAGAAAGAUCGAGACGAUUCGAAAAGCGUAACAGCGAUGACACGGUCACGGUCAAGCGUCCUCGCUGAUCUCGAGUCCACUGAUCGGCCACGCACUAAUCACUCAAAUUUCUGCUGACCCAUCUGAACUUCGUGUAUUUCCGCCCCACUCUCUUCUCGGAGAGCUCAACUGGGAGCUGCUCUCAUUUUUCCGGGCGGUCCGGUUUCAAGACGGAAAGACGAGACGUACACAAAGAUCGUUAUGUUGUUUCAACAGAUUCCUCUUCUUUACAAAAAUGUGAAUUUUCUAAAAUGAUAUUUCAUAAAUGUCACGAAAGUCUUUGUAAAAAGAUAAACUUACUUGUUACAUCUCUAUAUAUGUAUAUUUUAAUUAAUAAUGAAAAGAUAUUCAUCACA